rfam:Triticum aestivum genome assembly, contig: Triticum_aestivum_CS42_TGACv1_scaffold_249203_3DL
CUUGUACUCCCUCCAUCCCAAAAUUCUUGUCUUAGAUUUGUCUAGAUACAGAUGUAUCUAAUACUAAAACGUGACUUGAUACAUCCGUAUUUAGACAAAUCUAAGACAAGAAUUUUGGGACGGCGGGAGUAGUUU